rnacentral:siRNA from 1 species
UAAGUUUCAGCCUUGCGACCA